GUUAGAGUGUAGAGGCGGCAGGUAGCCUAGUGGUUAGAGUGUAGAGGCGGCAGGUAGCCUAGUGGUUAGAGUGUAGGGGCGGCAGGGUAGCCGAGUGGUUAGAGUGUAGAGGCGGCAGGUAGCCUAGUGGUUAGAGUGUAGAGGUGGCAGGUAGCCUAGUGGUUAGAGUGUAGGGGCGGCAGGGUAGCCGAGUGGUUAGAGUGUAGAGGCGGCAGGUAGCCUAGUGGUUAGAGUGUAGGGGUGGCAGGGUAGCCGAGUGGUUAGAGUGUAGGGGCCGCAGGUAGCCUAGUGGUUAGAGUAUAGGGGCGGCAGGUAGCCGAGUGGUUAGAGUGUAGGGGCGGUAGGGUAGCCUAGUGGUUAGAGUGUAGGGGUGGCAGGGUAGCCUAGUGGUUAGAGUGUAGGGGUGGCAGGGUAGCCUAGUGGUUAGAGUGUAGAGGUGGCAGGGUAGCCUAGUGGUUAGAGUGUAGGGUUGGCAGGGUAGCCUAGUGGUUAGAGUGUAGAGGUGGCAGGGUAGCCUAGUGGUUAGAGUGUAGGGGCGGCAGGGUAGCCUAGUGGUUAGAGUGUAGGGGCGGCAGGGUAGCCUAGUGGUUAGAGUGUAGGGGCGGCAGGGUAGGCUUGUGGUUAGAGUGUAGGGGCGGCAGGGUAGCCUAGUGGUUAGAGUGUAGGGGCGGCAGGUAAACUAGUGGUUAGAGUGUAGGGGCGGCAGGUAACCUAGUGGUUAGAGUGUGGAGGCGGCAGGGUAGCCUAGUGGUUAGAGUGUAGGGGCGGCAGGUAACCUAGUGGUUAGAGUGUAGAGGUGGCAGGUAACCUAGUGGAUAGAGUGUAGAGGUGGCAGG
ensembl:lncRNA